CGUAACCACCUUCUUGAAAAUUUGCUUUGGCUGUUCAUAAUGGAAAUGGAAAAAUGGAAGAACAGUUGAAGUCACUUUUAGCAGAAAAAAAUACAGAACUGUCUGGCCAGGUUUAUUGGAUUUUCACCGCAGUAGUAAGAAGAUGUACUAAUUCUGUGGCUGACAUACUGAACUUCUACCCCCUUUUCAAACGAAUGAAGGGCCUAAAGGCCUGGAAAGGGCUUACACAACAAUGAAAGUUUGUGACCAGUGAAAUCGCACAGCUUCUACACUCAAGAUGUCCACAGACUAUUGGUAAAUUCAAUAAAUAUGACAAGUCUACAGGCUGUCA
rnacentral:lncRNA from 1 species